rnacentral:rRNA from 1 species
UACGUAGGGCGCAAGCGUUAUCCGGAAUUACUGGGCGUAAAGAGCUCGUAGGCGGUUUGUCGCGUUGUCCGUGAAAACUCACAACUCAAUUGUGGGCGUGCGGGCGAUACGGGCAGACUGGAGUACUGCAGGGGAGACUGGAAUUCCUGGUGUAGCGGUGGAAUGCGCAGAUAUCAGGAGGAACACCGGUGGCGAAGGCGGGUCUCUGGGCAGUAACUGACGCUGAGGAGCGAAAGCGUGGGGAGCGAACAGG